UACAGAGGUGGCAAGCGUUGUUCGGAAUUACUGGGCGUAAAGGGCGCGUAGGCGGUUUCGUAAGUCCCGUGUGAAAGCCCCCGGCUCAACUGGGGAAUUGCACGGGAAACUGCGAGGCUUGAGUUCGGGAGAGGGAAGCGGAAUUCCGGGUGUAGCGGUGAAAUGCGUAGAUAUCCGGAGGAACACCGGUGGCGAAGGCGGCUUCCUGGACCGACACUGACGCUGAGGCGCGAAAGCCAGGGGAGCAAACGGG
rnacentral:rRNA from 1 species